AGUGAACGCUGGCGGCAGGCCUAACACAUGCAAGUCGAGCGGCAGCGCGUCCGACCACCCUCGGGUGGUCGGAUGGCGGCGAGCGGCGGACGGGUGAGGAAUGCAUCGGAAUCUGCCUCGUUGUGGGGGAUAACGUAGGGAAACUUACGCUAAUACCGCAUACGACCUACGGGUGAAGGUGGGGGACCUUCGGGCCUCACGCGAUGAGAUGAGCCGAUGCCGGAUUAGCUAGUUGGCGGGGUAAAGGCCCACCAAGGCGACGAUCCGUAGCUGGUCUGAGAGGAUGAUCAGCCACACUGGAACUGAGACACGGUCCAGACUCCUACGGGAGGCAGCAGUGGGGAAUAUUGGACAAUGGGGGCAACCCUGAUCCAGCCAUGCCGCGUGUGUGAAGAAGG
rnacentral:rRNA from 1 species